rnacentral:rRNA from 1 species
UGGCUCAGGAUGAACGCUAGCGACAGGCUAACACAUGCAAGUCGAGGGGCAGCACGGGAGUAGCAAUACAACUGGUGGCGACCGGCGCACGGGUGAGUAACGCGUAUGCAACCUACCUAUCAGAGGGGAAUAACCCGGCGAAAGUCGGACUAAUACCGCAUAAAACAGGGGCACCGCAUGGUGAUAUUUGUUAAAGAAAUUCGCUGAUAGAUGGGCAUGCGUUCCAUUAGGUAGUUGGUGAGGUAACGGCUCACCAAGCCGACGAUGGAUAGGGGAACUGAGAGGUUGGUCCCCCACACUGGUACUGAGACACGGACCAGACUCCUACGGGAGGCAGCAGUGAGGAAUAUUGGUCAAUGGGCGGGAGCCUGAACCAGCCAAGUCGCGUGAAGGAAGAAGGAUCUAUGGUUCGUAAACUUCUUUUGCAGGGGAAUAAAGUGCGGGACGUGUCCUGUUUUGUAUGUACCCUGAGAAUAAGGAUCGGCUAACUCCGUGCCAGCAGCUGC